GCUCCACAGUGCUGUUGGGUUCUGUGGUGGAGGCAUUCACCCUCUCCUCUGCCUCAAGAGACAUCUGGAAAUACUUGGUAAUGCUAUCCAAGGCACCUAGGGUAGGAAAUGAAAUUGCCCACAGUUAACCUCAUCAUACUAGGCUUCCUCCCCAAGCAGUGUCUAUAUUUGGUGUCUUCGGGUCCUAAAUUUACUGUAAAGUUUUAAAAUUCAAGAAAAAAUAUUUAUGAAGUACAGUUUUCAUGAGCAAUGAAUAUGUUUUGUCCCAUUAGCACCUACUCCAGCUCGAGUAUGGCAAACAUCUGGGUGAAAAAUGAAAAAUUAAGAAAAUCAUGCAAUCUUGUUUCUAUACACAAGCAAACAUCCAGUUCUUUAUAAAUAGCUGGUUUCAGGCAGCCUGAAGAUUAUAUGACUAGAUGACUUUUCUCAAUCCUUUAUUCGGAUCCACUCAAAUGACUAAUAUAGUAGCCCUCCAUAUUUGUAGGUUCCACAUAUGUGGAUUCAACCAACUGUGGAUGGAAAGCAUUUGGAAAAAAUGGUUGUAUCUGUACUGAAUGUGUACAGACUUUUUUCUUGCCAUUAUUUCCUAAACAAUAAAGUAUAACAACUAUUUACAUAGCAUUUACAUUGUAUUAGGUAUUGUAAGUAAUCUACAGAUUACUUUUAAAUAUACUGAAGGGAAAAAAAGAAAAAAGUAAAGCUGGGUGUGGUGGUUCACCUCUAUAAUCUCAGCUAUUCAGAAGUCUGAGACGGGAGGAUCACUUGAGUCCAGGAGUUCAAGACCAGCCUGAGCAGCAUAGCAAGAGCCCAUCUCUUAAAGAAAGAAAGAAAGAGAGAGAGAGAAAAAGAAAGAAGUAUAUAGGAGGAUAUGCAUAGGUUAUAUGCAAGUGCCAUUUUAUAUAACGGACUUGACCACCUGUGGAUUUUGGUUUCUGCAGUGGGUCCUGGAACCAAUCCCCCAUGGAUACCAAGGGAUGACGGUAUUAUAUAUAACAGCAUGACAUGUUUUUAGCUUUAGUCCAAAAGCAAUCAUGCAUAAAACAGUAUGGAUAGUUGGACAGUAUGAUGUAACAUAUUUCUACAUUCACUUUUUGCUGAGGAUCCUUUACAGUCUAUGAUAUAAAUAAUGAUUUGCAAAAGUUUUUUUCUGACCAAGCAGCAUUCUUGAAUGUGAAAGGAUUUGCAGAAGUAUUAAUACCUUAACUAUUCAAAAGAACCCCCUUCCAAGAAAAGGCCAGGGGAUUAAACUACUAACUGGAGGGAAAAAAAAAAAAUCAGGAAAUGGAUACCAUUCUGAUACAACUACUGCCAUUCACUCUGUGGGACCUUUGCUAUGUCUCUUAGGUUCUCUGUGCCCAAGUCCCACAUUUGUAAAAUGGGGACUUUGAUCCUCAUUUGUGCCAGAAACUGGAUGAGCAAAAGUUUUAAAAUUUAUUAGAAAACUUUUUUUUUUCCCCAAAAGUGCUAUAUUAAAACGUUAGACAUAUCGUUAAAUCCAUUGUCUGGGACUAUUUGCACCAAAAAAUGCUCACCCCGAAUAUCUGAGUUUUUGAUAAAUUCCAGUUGUUCAGCAAGUUCUUUCACAGUGUUGUCUAGGCUUUCGGCUUCUGUCUGUAGAGAAUCCAGUUCUUUGGCUGUGCUGUUGCUUUGGGAAGUUGUGUCAGAUAAUUUCACUUCUACUUGAGCCAUCAUUUCUGUAACAUCUUUAAUCAGUUUCCUGUAAAGAGAAAGUUAAGCUUACUUACAUAAAAUAAACCCAAGGGAGAACUUUCACGUUUCAUAUUUUCUACUAGUACUGUAUCCAUUACUAAUUUCAAACCAAUUCAGUAAUUUGUAACAUUUCAUCCCUAAGUGCUAGUUUUAUUUUCCUUAUAACAGAUAGUAUUAAAUCUAACAAUUUUUCUUUGUUCAAUGACUUUUGAGAGAAACACAGAAGUACCACUCAGCUGAGUUGUGGCAGACAAGCCAUUUAAGGGAUUCCAAAUUUCUGCUGUAAGAUGAGCACAGGUCAGAGUGUGGAGUUCUGGCUCUAUUCACAGGCAGCUUCAAGCCCUUACAAUUGUGAAAACUGAAGACAUAAAUGACUCCAGUUAUACAAUUAGGCCUCCCAGCCACAAGCCCAAAACAUUCUUCCCUAAGCCUCAGGGAUCUCCUUCAAGAUGGAACAUGCAGAGGGGAAGCCCUAUAGCCUGCCACAAAGACAACAGGAGCCACCAGUAUCAGCUUUCAUACACUCCUCUCUUCCGUCAGAGGGGCCUCCUUCUACCAACAGCCUUUUUAUUUUUUAUAAGAAAAUAGCAUCUACUAAGAAUGAAAUAAGAAGAUUUAGCUUUCACAGUAUUUAAUUUGGAAUCUAAACUGCAUUUUGUUCUGUACUUUCAAACCUACAAAGCCGUACUUUUGACAUCUAUUUGUAUAUUAUUGUGUACAUAGUGUGGAUAUGGGUGUGUGUGUGCACAUGCGAGUGUGCUCCAGGUGGGUGUGGGUAGGGUUGUAUGUGUAUUGUAAAGAAAGUAAUAUUUGAGCAGAUUUUACCUCUGGGUAUUACUGGUUCACCUAAUUGAAUGUAAUUGUCUUCUUGGCGAUAUAAUAGUAUAAAAAACCAGGAAAAUGUAAAGAUGCUGAAAGGUUGGGAGCCAUUAGAAAAAUGAUAUGUAAGGCUGAGAUAAAACUAUAACCCAACUCAAAGAAAAAGUACUUAAAGGGAUGGUUUAAAAUGGUAGAUUAAAUUACAUUUCAGUGCCUUUUUUUCCUGAGGCUAAUAUACAUAGUUUCUUUUUUCAGUGCUUUGCUUUUAUUAAUUAUAUGACUCACAGAAGGCUUUCAUUUCUUCUCAGGUCUCAUAAAAUGAUACAAUUUUUUUUAAAACAAGCAAAUCUAACAUCGUAUUUUAAAAUAAGGCCACUUUGGUUCCUAAAACAUGUAUCCUUGGAUAGUAUGUUGAAAAAAAAGAGUAAUGGAACUAGUUUUCCUGUGAUUAUUACAAUCUGUCUAGUUAAAUGAAUAGUGACGGUAGAAACAGAGCUGUUUUGGGAAUGUAAUCUCUCUUCUGGCAGGCUCUCAAAGGACACCAGAUUUUUUUCUUCCUCCCAGAGAUGCCUAAGACCCAGGCCAAGGAUCAUUUCCUAAAUGGGCUUGCAUUCGGACCACGGCCUGCCAAAACUGUGAUCUCUGCACAUUAGGAGGCUUAGUCUUUUCAGUGAGGUAAAAUGCCUCACUAAAUGCAUUGUCACUCUACAUCAGACGUUUCCUAACACUCUGGCCAGCUACAUGGUCUUGGGCAUAAAACCCAAGGCUUGACAUCAAGGUCCAGUUACUUUAAAUCUAGGUCUAGGAAGGACCUCCUUCAAGUCGCUUGAGCUAAUGUCAGCUGUCCUCUGCUACUCAUGCCUGGUAUGAGAUGAAAAGUCCCUCUGGCUUCUUAAAGGUGCUGAUUAAAGUCUCAUCACACACAAAAAAUGUUACUGUCAUUUCGUCAUAUAAACACCUCAGUGUGCAGGAUUUAACUGUGAAGCAGUCCCCUCAGGCCUAGAUGGUGAGUCUGCAGUGAAAAAACCAUAGCAUCUAGGGAAGCACAGAUGCCUCAUACCCUUUUCUAUUUUUGUCCUUUAGCACUUAGGUCUUAUUGUGCUGUUUUGGGGGUUCCUUUUUGGCAAAAGGAGUUGGGAAGUUUAGGGGCAAGAGAGGGGAGGUAGGAGAAAGGGUAGAUAAAUGAUCCUUGAGAAGGUCAAUUCUCUAGGCUUCCACUAACAAACACUGUCCAAUCAGAGGGAAGAUUACCUAGAGAAGGGGUGGGAUGAGGACUUUUCAGCAUAGAGCAGCUGUUAUAACUAGAUGAAUGAAGCACUGGUCUGGUGGACUAAUGGCGGAGAAGCAGAAAAAACUUGAAGUAAGCAGUCUUAUUUUGAGGUAAUGGAAUUUCCCCCAUAGUAGCAAUACUUAAUUUAUAAUUUUCUGCAAUCCUGUUGUUAUUUUAUAUAUAAAUCCUUUCAUUACUUCAUAAGGUAAUGGCAUAUAUUAUCCUACCCCUUCUCCACAGGAGAGAAAAUACAGGCUCAGGAAUUGAGUCAUCCAAGUUCACAAGCCUAGCAUCAGAGCCAAGACUCAAUUAUGGAUCUUUGUCUUCUAAAUCCAGCAUUCCUCCCAUUUUACUGACUUAGAACAUGAUUUGCAAGGAGGAGCACUGAAUAUAAUGCUUGCAUAUUCUGUACUGCAGCCUCCAGAAGGCUGGUCCCCACUGAUGUGCCAACGUUCACUCACCCAAAUGCCCAGUCAAGACUGCUGGAAAAUAAAUGGCUCAGAAUCUGUUCUCACCCACAGGACUAACAAAACCUCCUGAUGGAAGCACCAUGCCAGGAAAUCUUUGCUGUUAACUCACAAUAUUUUUUCAGCUUUAUGAGUAAUUCCUCUGGCUCAUUAACUACUUACUCUGCUUCCUCAAAGAGAUUCCCAAUGUUUUUCAGUGGCUCUGCUGCGGGGCUCUGCGCCAGGAUGUCUUUUAUCUCGCUGACUUUCCUCUCCACCGAGUCCACAGUCUCACGCUCUCGAGUGGCAGGUUUGAGGAGUACAGCAUUAUGGUUAAGAGCAUGAACUGCGGACUGAGGUGGUAAAUCCUGCCUUCUCCACACAUGUUAUGUGACCCUGGGUAAUCAGGAAACUGAGUCACGUCUUCCACAUCUGUAAG
rnacentral:lncRNA from 1 species